rnacentral:rRNA from 1 species
GACGAACGCUGGCGGCGUGCUUAACACAUGCAAGUCGAACGGUAAGGCCCUUCGGGGUACACGAGUGGCGAACGGGUGAGUAACACGUGGGUGAUCUGCCCUGCACUUCGGGAUAAGCCUGGGAAACUGGGUCUAAUACCGGAUAGGACUCCGGACUGCAUGGUCUGGGGUGGAAAGCUUUUGCGGUGUGGGAUGGGCCCGCGGCCUAUCAGCUUGUUGGUGGGGUGAUGGCCUACCAAGGCGACGACGGGUAGCCGGCCUGAGAGGGUGACCGGCCACACUGGGACUGAGAUACGGCCCAGACUCUUACGGGAGGCAGCAGUGGGGAAUAUUGCACAAUGGGCGCAAGCCUGAUGCAGCGACGCCGCGUGAGGGAUGACGGCGUUCGGGUUGUAAACCUCUUUCAGCAUCGACGAAGCGAAAGUGACGGGAGGUGCAGAAGAAGAACCGGCCAACUACGUGCCAGCAGCCGCAGUAA